UGAACGCUGGCGGCAGGCCUAACACAUGCAAGUCGAGCGGAUGAAGGGAGCUUGCUCCUGGAUUCACCGGCGGACGGGUGAGUAAUGCCUAGGAAUCUGCCUGGUAGUGGGGGAUAACGUCCGGAAACGGGCGCUAAUACCGCAUACGUCCUGAGGGAGAAAGUGGGGGAUCUUCGGACCUCACGCUAUCAGAUGAGCCUAGGUCGGAUUAGCUAGUUGGUGGGGUAAAGGCCUACCAAGGCGACGAUCCGUAACUGGUCUGAGAGGAUGAUCAGUCACACUGGAACUGAGACACGGUCCAGACUCCUACGGGAGGCAGCAGUGGGGAAUAUUGGACAAUGGGCGAAAGCCUGAUCCAGCCAUGCCGCGUGUGUGAAGAAGGUCUUCGGAUUGUAAAGCACUUUAAGUUGGGAGGAAGGGCAGUAAGUUAAUACCUUGCUGUUUUGACGUUACCAACAGAAUAAGCACCGGCUAACUUCGUG
rnacentral:rRNA from 1 species